ensembl:lncRNA
CAAUUAGGUUCUUCAGCUAAUUAUUGGAUCUUAUAAAUGAUUCUUCAAAAAACAGCUACAAUGAUUAGGUUGUGCCUUUAUACGGAGCUCUGAGAAAGGAUUUCCAUGCAGCAAGAGGAGAAUCGCCAUGUGGAUUGCAAUUUCUUCUCUUCGGUGAGGGGAAGGGUCUGCAGCUCAUCUGUAUCAGUUCAACUUUACCACCAAGCCAGCUGGACAUAGGACACUUGUUCAUCUGUCCACAAGCAUAUCAGGAACUGGGGGCUCAUUUCUGGCAGCAGGUCAGAGGUAACAGGGUUCUCCUGCUGCGUGAGAAACUGUGUGGAUGAAUACAAGUGACACUAAGGGCAGGCAUCGUUCUCAUAAUGCGUGUCUUACAAGUGUUGGAGGUAGUCACUAUAACAACAGCGCCUCAAAUUUGUGUCCACUUGAACUGCUCCGUCUCUGUAAUCGCCGAGCAAGAAUGAGCAGCCAAAGAAGUGCCGAGUUUAUGCAAGCAAAACUGACCCAGCUGAUGCCAAGAGGAGCUGGAGAGCAGCAGCCCGUGCCCCACGCCUGCUCCGCGGAGCCCCGCGGGGAUGGGGCUGCGGUGCCCGGCUCCUGUCUGACUCGUUCUGCUCCCCUCCUGCUCCCUGCCUGCACAGCCGCAAGUAAGACAGAACUAGAAAUAAACAAGCACCCAUCACAGAUGCUCACCAGCCUCAUAUUUCCAUCAGCAUGCUGCAGAAAGCAAAAGCAGUUAAUAGAAACCUGGGUGUAAUUAUUUACCGAGUGGUUUGCAGCACAUCCGUGCCCACUGUGUUUGUAAACUGGCCAACAUUUUGACUCACGUAGGGGAAACAUGCGAAAUGCUGGAUAUCUGUCACACAAAAACUCCAGUGUAAAUAAAUAAAGCUACGUAGGACGUCUCCCA